GGCGGCAUAGCCAAGUGGUAAGGCAGAGGUCUGCAAAACCUCCAUCCAGCGGUUCAAAUCCGCUUGCCGCCU
rnacentral:tRNA from 16 species